rnacentral:rRNA from 1 species
ACGAGAGGUCCAAACGUUAUUCGGAAUUACUGGGCUUAAAGAGUUCGUAGGCGGCUAAGUAAGUGGGAUGUGAAAGCCCUCGGCUCAACCGAGGAACUGCGUUCCAAACUACAUAGCUAGAGGAAGAUAGAGGUGAGCAGAACUGAUGGUGGAGCGGUGAAAUGCGUUGAUAUCAUCAGGAAUACCGGAGGCGAAGGCGGCUCACUGGGUCUUUUCUGACGCUGAGGAACGAAAGCUAGGGGAGCAAACGGGAUUAGAUACCCCGGUAGUCCUAGCCGUAAACGAUGAGCACUGGACCGGAGCCCUGCACAGGGUUUCGGUCGUAGCGAAAGUGUUAAGUGCUCCGCCUGGGGAGUAUGGUCGCAAGGCUG